rnacentral:lncRNA from 1 species
UUUGCGAUAUCACAGGCAGAUAUCCUCGUCUCAGUUCACAGGUACUGAAGAGGUUGCCACACGCGGACGCUGGGGUGACUGGCAGGCCUUGAGAGCUGAAGUGUCGAAGUGAAGUGUUUGAAGCACAAACACCUGGAGAUUUGGUUGAAAGGUUAAAGCCAAUCUAAUAACGCGGUGAACAAGCGACAUAUCCUGGACGUGUAGAUUCAGCAUGAGUCUCAAUGUGAGAGGCGAGGUAGUCUAAGUGAAACCUCGAAGUGUAGUGUCGCAUCAUUCCACUUUAGUUGGCUUCAAAGCCCUUUUGAGAUCAUUUAACAAUGUUUGAGAGAUGAGCGAUAUUUUUUAGCCCGAAUAAAUUAGCACAUGAUGGGUUAAGCAGUCCUCCAGGAGUCCUCCAGGUUUUUAUAUGACCAAACAUAUCGAGUGGUUCCAAUGACGAAUUUGACGCGAGCCUCCCGUCCCUGGCUGUAGAUGGCUGACAAAACAUUACGGUGGAACCAAAUGGACUCCUGAGAAAACCAGCAAACCAGGCUGUCGUCUUGUGAAACAGUGGAUGUAAAGAAUCUAGCUAGCUAAAGCAUUUAGAGGGCUAUGUGUCUCACCACUUGGUUAUUGCAAGGCUAAGCCCCAGUGAAAUCAUGACUUGACAGCAACAGAUAGUCCAGUGAAAAUGGCUGUGUUUAUGUGGUGUAAAUCUGAAAAUCAGCAGCUGACAUCUUAAGGGUUUUUAAUGAAUGGGUGUGAGACAGGUUCCAUGUAAAACAAGACAGGCAUAGAUGGAGAGAAAGAACAAAGAACAGUUUAAUUAUCUCUGGUUAUGGACACUUUUGCCAGCAAUAAAGCUUCCACUGCCUGUUCCUCGGACAGUAAACAUCUGGCAAUAUCUACAUUUUCAACCCCUUGAUCAGCUCGCUCUCUGACAGAAAAAGCAAAUAGCUUAUUUUUUUGUAGAUAUGUGUCACGUCCUGACCAGUAGAGGGUGUAGUUGGGUCAGGACGUGGCAGAAGGGAGUAAGUGUUUUAUUGUUUCAUUUAAUUUUGGCCGUGUGACUUCCAAUCAAGCACAGCUGUAGAGGGUUGUGGUUGAUUGGGAGUCACACAUAAGUUGCCUACGUUUCCGUUGUGUGGUGUGGGUAAUUGUGCUUGUCACUGUUGUUGCACCUGACAGGACUGUGUUGGCUGUCAGUUUUGUUGUUUUGUUAAUUGCA